CUUUGGAGAAAAUCAGAGUCACAAGCACUGUGAGGUCACAGUGUAGUUCCCACACACCCUGGUCCUUGUACAUGCCCUGGAUCUGGGAGCCUGGGGAUUUUAAGUCUUUGCUGUGAUUACGGGAUAGGAAGUAUGUUGGCGGGCAGUGUGUGUGGUGCGUUUGUGACCAGCGUUUGCACGGGAUAGAUAUGUAUAUAUAUCUCCAGGGUGCACAUCAGGUCAAGCUCAGACUCCUGGACUCGGCCUUCAAGGCCUCUAGACUCAAUCAUCCUAUGUUCUCAUCUGCCUCCCAUUUGGUCUGGGAGCUCCACAAGGGUAGGUCCUGGACACUUUUAUUCCUCCGCUUUCUGGGGCCCAUCAGGGAAAGGAGGUCAUGUUUACUGAGCAAGCACCACGGCCCAGGACCCUGAUGUCAGAUGAUAUU
rnacentral:lncRNA from 1 species